UACAGAGGUCUCAAGCGUUGUUCGGAUUCAUUGGGCGUAAAGGGUGCGUAGGCGGCGCGGUAAGUCGGGUGUGAAAUCUCGGAGCUUAACUCCGAAACUGCAUUCGAUACUGCCGUGCUUGAGGACUGGAGAGGAGACUGGAAUUUACGGUGUAGCGGUGAAAUGCGUAGAUAUCGUAAGGAAGACCAGUGGCGGAAGGCGGGUCUCUGGACAGUUCCUG
rnacentral:rRNA from 1 species